rnacentral:rRNA from 1 species
AGAGCUCGUAGUAGGAUAUGUGUUGCGGACUGCCGGUCUACCCCAGUGGUUAGCACUCGGUAUGUCCCCGGCAUUUUCCUGGGGAAAGUGUUCGCACUUCACUGUGUGGCACAUGAUCCAGAGCUUAUACUUUGAGGAAAUGAGAGUGUUUCAAGCAGGCGUACGUCGUGAAUACGUUAGCAUGGAAUAAUAGCAUGGGACCCCGUUCUGAAGCUGUUGGUUUUUGGAACGAGGUAAUGAAAAUAGGGAUAGUUGGGGGCAUUCGUAUUUAACUGUCAGAGGUGAAAUUCUUGGAUUUUUUUAAGACGGACUACUGCGAAAGCAUCUGCCCAGGAUGUUUUUAUUAUUCAAGAACGAAAGUUAGGGGAUCGAAGACGAUCAGAUACCGUCCUAGUCUUAACCUUAAACCAUGCCGACUAGAGAUUGGGGUCGUCAGAAUCUUGACGUCUUCAGCAACUUGAGAGAAAUCAAAGUCUUUGGGUUCCGGGGGGAGUAUGGUCGC